AGGCGCACCGGCCGGCCUCGGAGCUCUACCAGCAGGCUUUCAUGGGAGCGGAGGUGCCCACGUUUCCAUUGUGCGGUAACCGCGCUUCAUCACAGCCACCUCCAAUCGAGGCCGCACGGUGUCCCCAGAACCACGCUCGGUACAACCUGCCCCGGCCGCUGCGCUCGACUUGGGAGCGCGCCCCGCCCCGAGCGCACGACCUCCCUUCCCUCUCCGCGACUUGAGCUUGCUUCCCGGAAAGCCAGUGUAGUGGCAGCGGUUUGCCUCACAGCGCCCCUGGCAGCACUGAGAAGUGAAGGAAUAUUUGGGAGGAUCAGAAGCUUGGUCCUGAUUUUGCCAUCAACAGGAACUUGAUGACUUCAAGGGAGUCCCCAAACCCUGGGUUUCUGUUUUCUCAACUCUAACAUGAGGGGCUAGAUGCAUCUGGUUUAGUUAGUCUCCAUGAUGGUUUAGUUCGUCUCCAUGAUCCUGUGAAUUUCAGAUGUUGAAAAUCUUCGGAAAAGCCCUGAAAGAUGAACAGUGGUCUCAAA
rnacentral:lncRNA from 1 species